CUUGGCUGCUAUGCUUUAACAAAGGAUUUGUGUGUAUGUUCUGGGAGGAGGAAAGUCACAGAGCAGUGUCUUUAGAGAAGUGGGGAGCAGAACCUGGACACAGAACUGUUACAUCUGACAGAGAUGACACAUUGGAUAAUAUUUCAAAAGGUGCCCAAGUGACUUACAAGCCUAUAUCCCAUUUUCAAAGUUACUUAGUCAUCCAGAAGACUAAAUCUCAUUGAAGGUUACUGAGACUGGCCAGGUUCCAGCUUCCCAGAGAUCAAACCAGUAGGCAAUGAGAGACCCCGGCGUCCCUUGGAUCUGCAGGAAGGUUCUACUGCUUUUGGUCCAGUCCUGAGUGUUCUUUGUUGUUGUUGUGGGUUUUAUUCUUCUCUCCAGCCGCUACUGCUGUAGGUUUAUAUAUAGCCCCAUAUAUACCUUGAUUAUCCUUACAUGGUAAUAUUUCAGUUCAAGCCUUGCAAUUGGUUUCUUACACUCAUACUAUGUCAUUCAUUCAUUAUAUAUGGAUUACAUAAUCAAUAAAACAUGAAUACAAUUUUGUAAUAUAGCUUUAAGCAAGCCCUAACAUCAGCAAGGACUUCCGCCGGUAUUUGUGGUUCAGACAGGAAACUGUGCAAACUGCACUUUUAGACUGCUCAAAAAGGCAUGAGGUGAGGCCAUGGGCUGUCCCGCAUCCCUAUGGAGCAGGAGCUGCUCCUGCCUGCCAGAGGCCAAGCCAUGAAUGAGGCCACAUCCGGCUACACUUACCAUCUAAGCUCCCAGUUCUGCAAUGAGCACUGCACGAGUGGACCUCUGCCUGCACAA